rnacentral:rRNA from 1 species
GAUGAACGCUGGCGGCGUGCCUAAUACAUGCAAGUCGAGCGAACAGACGAGGAGCUUGCUCCUCUGACGUUAGCGGUGGACGGGGGAGUAACACGUGGAUAACCUACCUAUAAGACUGGGAUAACUUCCGGAAACCGGAGCUAAUACCAGAUAAUAUAUUGAACCUCUUGGUUCAAUAGUUUAAUACGUUUUUGCUUUCACUUAUAGAUGGUCCCACUCCGCAUUAGCUAGUUGGUAAGGUAAAGGCUUACCAAGGCAACUAUCCGUACCCGACCUGAUAGGAUAAACGGCCACACAGGAACUGAGACACGCUCCAGACUCCUACGGGAGGCAACAGUAGGGAAUCGUCCGGAAUGAGCGAAAGCAUGACAGAACAAACACGCGUGAGAGAUGAAGGUCUUAGGAUCGUAAAACUCUGUUAUGAGGGAAGAACAAAUGUGUAAGUAACUAUGCACGUCUUGACGGUACCUAAACAGAAAGCCACGGCUAACUACGUG